rnacentral:rRNA from 1 species
UACGUAGGUGACCAGCGUUGUCCGGAUUUACUGGGCGUAAAGAGCGCGCAGGCGGUCGUUCAAGUCGAGUGUGAAAGCCCCCGGCUCAACUGGGGAGGGUCAUUCGAUACUGAUCGACUCGAAGGCAGGAGAGGGAAGUGGAAUUCCCGGUGUAGUGGUGAAAUGCGUAGAUGUCGGGAGGAACACCAGUGGCGAAGGCGACUUCCUGGCCUGUUCUUGACGCUGAGGCGCGAAAGCGUGGGGAGCGAUCCGG